UCGCGCGAUCCCCUUGAGUUUGAUAUGGCUCAGAAUCAACGCUGGCGGCGUGCCUCAGACAUGCAAGUCGAACGCGAAAUUUCCCUUCGGGGAGAAAGUAGAGUGGCGCACGGGUGAGUAACACGUAGGUAAUCUACCUCUGGGUGGGGAAUAACAGCCGGAAACGGCUGCUAAUACCGCAUAAUGCAGCGGCACCGUAUGGUGACAGUUGUUAAAGCGGGGGAUCUCGCAAGAGACCUCGCGCCUGGAGAGGAGCCUGCGGCAGAUUAGCUAGUUGGUGAGGUAAUGGCCCACCAAGGCAACGAUCUGUAGCCGGCCUGAGAGGGCGGUCGGCCACACUGACACUGACAUACGGGUCAGACUCCUACGGGAGGCAGCAGUCGGGAAUUUUGGGCAAUGGGCGAAAGCCUGACCCAGCAACGCCGCGUGAAGGAUGAAAUCCCUCGGGAUGUAAACUUCGCAAGAAUGGGAAGAAUAAGGAGGGGAUAAUAACCCCUCUGAUGACGGUACCAUUUGUAAGCUCCGGCUAACUCCGUGCCAGCAGCCGCGGUAAUACGGGGGGAGCAAGCGUUGUUCGGAUUUACUGGGCGUAAAGGGCGCGUAGGCGGCCGAACAAGUCACUUGUGAAAUCUCCGGGCUUAACUCGGAAAGGUCAAGUGAUACUGUUUGGCUAGAGUGCGGAAGGGGCAACUGGAAUUCUCGGUGUAGCGGUGAAAUGCGUAGAUAUCGAGAGGAACACCUGCGGCGAAAGCGGG
rnacentral:rRNA from 1 species